GACGAACGCUGGCGGCGUGCUUAACACAUGCAAGUCGAACGGAAAGGCCCUGCUUUUGUGGGGUGCUCGAGUGGCGAACGGGUGAGUAACACGUGAGUAACCUGCCCUUGACUUUGGGAUAACUUCAGGAAACUGGGGCUAAUACCGGAUAGGAGCUCCUGCUGCAUGGUGGGGGUUGGAAAGUUUCGGCGGUUGGGGAUGGACUCGCGGCUUAUCAGCUUGUUGGUGGGGUAGUGGCUUACCAAGGCUUUGACGGGUAGCCGGCCUGAGAGGGUGACCGGCCACAUUGGGACUGAGAUACGGCCCAGACUCAGACGGGAGGCAGAAGUGGGGAAUAUUGCACAAUGGGCGGAAGCCUGAUGCAGCAACGCCGCGUGCGGGAUGACGGCCUUCGGGUUGUAAACCGCUUUCGCCUGUGACGAAGCGUGAGUGACGGUAAUGGGUAAAGAAGCACCGGCUAACUACGUG
rnacentral:rRNA from 1 species